rnacentral:piRNA from 1 species
UGAAGAAUAUGAAAAAGGAGUUCUGC